GCCCACUCCACUCCACUCCACCCUGCUCCAGGGCCUGGACUCCUGGAGACAGUGUGGUUUGCCUCAGGACCUGGAGGGUAAGGGUCCCCACCCUGUCAGGGAACCCCAGGCCUGUCCUUGGGAGAGCAAUCUUCUGUGGGGCAGUGGUUGAGGGGCCAGUUUCAUGCAGGAGACAGCAGGAGAACCUCUCCUUUCUCAUCUGAGAGUUACAGCUCACAGACACACAGACAAGUACCUACAUAUGCAUGCACGUGACAUGUGACACACAUGACAUGUGUACACAUGCAGAUAUACACACAUGCACAGAUGCAUACAAAACAUACAUACCACACAACCCAGCAGACAUGCACACAUACAUACACAUGCCACAUCCACACAUGUGCACAGGUACACCCACACACAGAUGCACUGACAUGACCCAUGGACACACAAGCACAAACCCACACAUGCAUGCCCACACAAUAUACAUGACACACAUGUGCACACACAUGCACACACCUGCAUGCACAUGUGCACACGUUUGCACAUGAUGUACCUGCAUGUACGCAUGUGCACCUCCAUGCGCCUGAGGACCUCAUGGGCCCAGCGGUCGUUCACUCUUCUGGUCUGGCGUGGCCUGGGUGCCAGCCUGACCUUGAUGGCUCUCUCUCCACACUGUCCACCACCCAGAGACCCCUCCUGUGACCCAGGCCGGCCCUGUUGCAAGGAGGCUUGCUGCAGUGGGAGUCUCCAUGAUAAAGUCACUGUGGCAAGGCCUGGGCUGGGUGGCCGGGACCUGCCCAACUCUGACUUUCCCACCCUGGGCAGCAAGGACCCCUUCGUGCUACCCCCCCGGCUCUCGGUGGUCUGCGGCCCAGCAGGAGACUCCAGCCCCGCCAUGCCCUGGGUCUCGGCCCUGUGCUGGGCAUGGGAAGGCGCAGUUCCCAGCCAUGGAGUGGUGGCCCCUCGGUCCCAGGCUAGCCUGGCCCUGGCAGGGCCUGUGAAUCCAGCCCCAGCGGCUGCUCCACCCUGAGCUUGCCUGGGCCUUGGCUCAUACCCGGUGCCACACAGGGCCAACUUCUCUUUUCUCAAAGACACCCUUAUGAGGAGUACAACCCGUGGGUUUGCCAAUAUCUGCCCCUUUCAGGUGUCAGGAGGUUCAAAACUUGCUCAGGGGACCCAGGUAGCAACAGGACAGAUCGCUACAUCUCAGGACCCCGGGGCCCCAGCCAGGGUUGUUUUCAGGAGAUGCGGCCUCUGUGGAAGGGACCUUCUUUCUAGAGGGGGUCCAGGCCUCCCCAGCUCAAAGGUCCUGGCUUGGCGGGAGGUGUCUCUGCUGCUUUACCUGGUGGGGAGGGCCCCAGCUUGAGUGUGCCACCCUCCGGAGGGCAUCUCGUCCGAGUGAGUGCUGGGUGAGUGACGUGGGUGCUGUCCUCCCAGGGCUGCUUCCUUUACACGUGUGCCGGCUGCCUUGAGAUGCUGGCUCCCAAGACCUAAUCUUGGCCAGCCGGGGUGGCGAAUGUUCCUUCUCUGUGCUGCUGCAGCUGCCUCCGCACCCUGACUUCCUUCCUGAGGCGCCUGGGCACCAGCUGUGAGGGCACACAUGGCGAAGAAUGUUGGAGCCACACCUGGUGACUUGCAGACAGACUGAAAACUGCAGAGUGUGGCGGCGCCGCUGGCCUUCCUGGGCUGCGCUCAGCCUGGCAUGGCUGCAGUGAGGAUGUCCUGGGGCCGCCGCCACCGAGUACCACGGGUGUGGGGGUUUGAACCGCAGACGUUUAUUCCCUCACGGCUCUGGAGGCUGGAGGUCUGAGACCAAGGCAAGAGCAGGGCUAGUUCCUUCCAGAGGCUCAGAGGGCAAAUCCACCCAGGCCUCUGCCACCCGUGGCUGUGUGGCACACUCCUCGCUGCUCCUCCGCUCCCGGGAGCGCUGCCCAGGCUCUGGCUGCAGCUUCAUGGGGCAUCUCUCUGCCUGUGUGUCUGUGUCCACACCCUCCCUUUGUGUGACGACACCCCUCAUGGUGGACGAGGGUCCCCUCACUCCAGUGGGCCCCUCACCUCCAUUGUUCUGUCAAAGGAACGUUUAUUCCCAAGUCAGGUCACCCUCCGAGGUCCUGGGCUGAGAUCUGCAACUUAUGAAUUUUGUGGGACACAGUUCAGCCCACAUGAGUCCUCCGUAGGCUGAGGGAGCUGACGUGUUGGGGGCGAGGGGCUGGGGCUGUGGCUGGCAUGGGGUCACCGCUGCAUCCUGCUUAGUGAUGGACGGUUCCGCCUCGGCAGGCAUCGUUUUGGCUCCCGACUGCAAUGUCUGGGGAAGUCUGCCUGCUUCUGGCAGGCACUUGCCAUGGCCGGUCGGUGCCCCACAGAGCUGCUGUCUGUGUGGCCUCUCGAGUCCCCAGAACUCUGACCUGGCCAGGGUCCAGCAGGAGCACUGGUCACACUGAGUGUUUCCACAGAGGGACUUGAUGAAGGCGUCGGGUUCAGGAGCCGCGGCUGUCUGCAGGGCACAAGAGCACCUGAGGGUAGCCCAGGGCUGCUCUGCGGACCUGCUGUUGUGUCACCAGGGGAAGCGUUCUGCUGAGGACCAAGACAUCUAAACCAGCAGAGUCCAACGUCCUAGGGACAGGAAAUCAGUGUUCCAGGAGUGGGUCUGCAGGUGUGAGUGAAAGGAGCUCCUUCUGCAUCCAACCAAUGUUGGAACCUGGGACUCUGGGUUAGAGCCGUAAUUCUGCCACAGCUGACUUCCGUCAACAGAAAACAGUCAGGACCAGCUGUGAACCAAGCCCGAGUUUUUGUCUUCGGCCCAAGGCAGCAGAUGGCAUGGCAACGUCAGGCCAGGGCGGCAGGACCCUCAGCCACACGCUGGGGCCCUACAUUUCAAGGACAUAUUGGCUGGUCUCCGACGCGUGUGUGUUCUACGAAGUCAAGCAAGAUGCUUGCUGCUCUCUGACCAUCAGGAACAACUGAUGUGAUGUCAUCAGCAGGGAGACCAGAGCGGUGGCCCCAGGACCUCCCGGUGAGCAAGAUCCCUGUAGAGGGGUGAUCAGGAGGGUGAAGCGGGCCCCGGGCAGGGCUGUGAAGAUGAACCCUCACCUGUGCCAGGUGGAAGCUCAUGCUCCGGGAUCGCAGGAAACCACGUUCCCAGUGGCCUGUCCUGUGCCUUCUCCCAGAGGACCCACUCCCUCAGUGGAGAUUCCAUGGUUGGAAAAGUGUCAGCAGCUGGGUCCCCUGGGUGAAGUCAAGACUAAUCCCCAGCAGUGGUUCUCAGUUGGGGUGGGGGGUGGGUGGACAUUGGGCAGUGCCCAGAGACAUUUAUAAUUGUUACAUUCGGGGGAUGUCACAGGCUUCCAGUAGGGGAGGGCCAGGGAAGCUGCCAACACCUUGUCAAGACCAGGUCGGCCCCACCACAAAGGGUCAUCUGUCCCCAAAGUCCUAAGUGUUGAGAUUGUGCAACCCUUAUCCAGGGUCACUUUCUGAGAUCCAUCUGCCUCCCGCACAGGCCACGGUGCCAGGAAUCCCGGCACCUGCCGCUCCAGGCCCAGCCUCAGCCUCACCACAGGGUGCUGUGCCUCCCUGGCUUUCCUCUCCUGGGUAGAGAGCAGCUCCAGGGGUGUCUGCUGUCUCUCCCCACCCCAACAGGCGUCAUUCUGUGGGUUUGGGGCCAACGUGGGGAUUCUCCCAGUGGCCGACUGUGUCCAGUCCAAUCAUGCAUUCCGGGACUGUGGACGUGACUCAGGCCAUGGAGCUCACGUGGAAGUGGACGUGACCACAGGUGUCGCUUUCCUCUGGACUGCAUGGGGCUCAGGCUGCAUGGGGCUCAGGGUCUCCAGGAAGCAGAUCGGCACACAGCCUGCUCCCACACGGCCCAGCUGGAUCCCUGCUGUCGAGCACAGCCUGCUGCAGACCCGCUUGGGGCCGGUGCAGGGGAAGUGUCCAAGUUCCUCCUUGUGAGUGUGUAGGGGACCUUCCUGAAGGCUCCAGGACCCUGGGGAGAGCGGCCUGGCUGGUGCUGAAGCUGAGUAAGUGGCUGGGACUCCUCAUGGGGACGCCACAAGUGAAGCUUCUGGUGGGUAGACACCGAGGACACCUGCCCUGUAGGUCGAGCUCCACUUCACUAGGCCUUCCAUCUGAUUGAUCCCAGAGAUCCUGAUCAAUCAGCCAUGAUGAAAGCACAUGCCGAGCUAAACCUCCCAAUGAUCAUUCUGUCCCCACUGCCCACGACAGCUGACAGCUCUUGUCCUGGACUGGCCAGCAGCAGUGAAACCCCGCCCGGCCACUGCCACUCCCCAACCUGUCGUUCUCACUAGACCCAGGGGCCCACCCCAGGGAGUGUGGUCAGCUGCAAAUGCCUCCACCUCGCCCCUCGCCGAGAUUCCCCUCCUGAGCCCUGGAGCCCUGGGAGUUGCCAGAUACUGCGAGGUCCAUGCAGGGGUGAUAUAAGGUGCAGGAUCCCGAGACGCGGGGAUAUCCGGACAACCCUGGAGGCCCUAAAUUCCAUCACAAGUGUCCUCAUCAGAGAGUUGCAGAGGAGACGUGACCACACCCUGUGGAGACGGCCAUGUGGGACAGGGUGGGGAUUGGAAGAUGCUGGUCUUGGAGACCGGAGUGAGGCAGCCACAAACCCAGGAACGUCGGUGGACCCCGGAAGCCGGGAGAGGCUGGGAAGGAUUCCGUACUGGAGCCUCCAGAGGAAGCGCCCUCAUUUCUGCCCAGUGAGGCUAACUUUGGACUUCGUGCUUUCGAAGGGAUCGAAAGGGACCCGGGCAGUGGACUCUCCCCUGGCAAGCGAGCCGCGGAGAGGCGCAGGAGGUGCAGACUUUCAUUCCUGUGUCCCCGCACCAAGGUCCAAGGCCCUGGCCCUUCCGGAAGGACGCCCAAUGUCCCCCGAAGAGCCUUGACACGUGAGGGACCUCCGCUUUGCGCUUCGUCGUCGGCUCAAUUACAUGCAGGUUCGUUUUCGGUGAAGUCAUCCCCGAGGCUAAAAGAAAUGAGAUUAUUUCAGGGCCACCACCGUAGGUCUCUGCUUUGACUGUAGCUGGAGCGAGUCACGCCUCCCUGCGAGUUCCAGGGGCAGCGGAAGUCGGCCGGCCCUGUUCUCUGCAGCUGCCAUUGCAAAAUACAGUCCUGGUCAAGUGCAGCCCCCACGGGGUCCCCAAGGAACUUACUUUGAAGGAAACUCAAUCACGAUCCACACAGUGACAGUCCUGUUGACUGUGAUGUCCCUGCACGGCUCCGACAGCCAGUGUCCGGUUUUCCUUGGUAGAAAGCGCAGCGCUGUUUCCAGGGUAACAGCAGCCUCCACCGUCCCGGAAUUCCCGCUGCGAUGGCUGGUUCUGGGGACUGUUCCCAGGAUGAGUAUCAGCCAACGUCCAGCCAGGGACUGGAACCCCCCUGGGUGCUUCCACAGAGGGAGUCCAACCCCAGAACGGCUGCCUGGGCCUUGGAGGGCGAAGGCAGGAAGCAGCCUCCACUCAGGGCUGGGAGGGUGGUGGAGGUGAGGUUGCCCAGGUCCAGAGGCUCAGGGAGGGGCUGCAGGGUGGAGAUGCAGACAGAGGGGGGGGCAUCGUGAGGAUAGUGCGGACACCCAGGGAGGCAGAGGAGAUGGCCUCGCCCCCGCCUCCUGUCCACACUGUCCAGAGAGAGAGGGGUGGGCACAGAUGCCGAGGCCCUGCCCACCCCACACCCUGGCCACCUGGCCUUGGUGCCUGCAGUGCCUCAUGCUCCUGAUAAGCAGUGAAGGGGAUGCCCUGGGGAGGGAGGGCUGAGCUCCCAGGGCAGAGACGCACACUCGGGACUUCCAGGUGCUGUGAGGAUGAGGUCAGUUACACCCGCACGUGCAUGGGGGAAGCUCUUCUGUUUGUUCACAGGUGGAAACGCCACAGAUCCCUCGUUGGGAAGUCAGGCUGGUAGUGAGCUGUUCUUUGGCCCUAAAAGGACUCGGCAUCUCCCUGUGGCUGGCUGGGGACACAUAGGGGCAGGAGUCUCCAUGCUGGACCAGCUCGUUUCCAAGCCGUUAUCCCUGAUCAGAGCCUUGGGGACCAAGAAGGGGCAUCCAUGUCGGGGCUCUGUUAACAGAACUCCCAGCAUCCUCCACCCCUCCCGUCCUCCUUCCCUCCCUCCCAUCCUUCCUUCCUUGCUCCUUCCUUUCUCCCUUUGUGAGGUCAGGAGGUGGCCCGGGGCCUGGCUUUCUCACCUGUACGAUGGGAGGUGGGUGGCGCCGGGCAAUGCCCAUCUUCCCCUCUGGUGGCCGAUGUCGAGGACCCCUUGACAGGCCCUGAGUGCUCCCGGGAGGGUCUGGUUUUCUGACAAGUCAGCCACGGCCCUGGCUGGGCAGGAAUAUUCAGCCCACGACGGUGGGAAACAGGGCAGCCCCGCCUGGCCAGCCGGGAGUGUCCACUUGGGAUUUGAUGCAAGCCAGGGCUGCAGCCCACCCUGCUCCUCACCCACUGGCCAGGCACCCGUAAGCUCCACACCAAGGGCAGGUGGGCGGGCAGGUGGGUGCAGGGCUGUGGAAGCUAGUGAGUGCCAGGCCUGCUCCUCGGUGCCUCAGACCCGCGGGCCUCCAGCUGCACCUGGCCCCGCGUCCCUGGGACGCUGACCUCGGGGCUUCUCUCUGCAGUUUCGCCCUCACAGAUCAGCAGUGUUGGAGGGUUGGGUUUACCCCUCACCUCCUUUCCCACUCAGAUGCAGGAGGGCUGGGCUGACGCCUCCCAGGAAGGCCCAGCUCCCCACGGAGGGUGGCCCUCCUCUGUGGCCACUGGGGACCCUCUGUGCUCCAGCCCUCCAGGCCCAGUGGUCAGGACAUCGUAAGGAAUGCUGUGGCUGGGGCUUCGAGAACCCUGUCCCCCACCAGCUCCUCUGCCCCUCCUGCACCUCUGCACAAGGUGCUGCUUCCCCUCCAGGGCUGUGGCCCCUCACGGGGGGUUUGCGGAUGUAUCCAGGGCCCAGCUGACCUGCCAGGGCCAGUGCUCUUUCCUCCUGAUGGCAGCUCCCUGACAAGGUGUGGAGGAGGCUGCCCCCAGUGCCCACAGAGGACUUUCAACAGGGCAGGGCAGGGCAGUGCCACCUGCCUGGCGCUGGGCACCCCCACCUUCCUGGGAGCUGUGGUGCUGGAGAAUGAGGACACUCCUGCCUCUGAAAACCCGUGGCCCUGAACCCACAGCAGGGAUGGGAGCGCCUGACUCAGAUGCUGUCUGCCGUCUGCUCCUGGGGCAAACUCCCCCUCCCUGAGAGGCUUACCUGGCUGUGGGGAGGGAGGGGCCCAGCUGUGUGUGUACGUUUAUCUCUGCAGACGGGCUCUCCUGGGCGACAGCCCCCUCGCACUGUAAUUCUGGAGAUUUUCCUCGCGUGUCAUUUUUAAUAGAUGUGAUUAUGGUUUGGAGUCUGA